rnacentral:rRNA from 1 species
GACGAACGCUGGCGGCGUGCUUAACACAUGCAAGUCGAACGGAAAGGCCCUGCUUUUGUGGGGUGCUCGAGUGGCGAACGGGUGAGUAACACGUGAGUAACCUGCCCUUGACUUUGGGAUAACUUCAGGAAACUGGGGCUAAUACCGGAUAGGAGCUCCUGCUGCAUGGUGGGGGUUGGAAAGUUUCGGCGGUUGGGGAUGGACUCGCGGCUUAUCAGCUUGUUGGUGGGGUAGUGGCUUACCAAGGCUUUGACGGGUAGCCGGCCUGAGAGGGUGACCGGCCACAUUGGGACUGAGAUACGGCCCAGACUCCUACGGGAGGCAGCAGUGGGGAAUAUUGCACAAUGGGCGGAAGCCUGAUGCAGCAACGACGCGUGCGGGAUGACGGACUUCGGGUUGUAAACCGCUUUCGCCUGUGACGAAGCGUGAGUGACGGUAAUGGGUAAAGAAGCACCGGCUAACUACGUGC